CAUUACUUUUGGGUCCUCCAAGUUCUGGAAAGACCACGUUUUUGUUGGCUCUAGCAGGACAGCUUGAUCCUGACCUAAAGUUUUCUGGGAAAGUGACUUAUAAUGGCCAUGAAAUGAAUGAGUUUGUUCCACAAAGAACAGCUGCAUAUGUCAGUCAAAAUGACCUUCAUUUAGGAGAAAUGACUGUAAGGGAAACUUUGGCCUUCUCUGCCAGAUGCCAAGGGGUUGGAUCGCGUUAUGAGAUGUUAGCAGAACUAGAAAGAAGAGAGAAAGAGGCAAAUAUUAAGCCUGACCCUGAUGUUGACAUCUACAUGAAGGCAGUGGCAACAGAAGGGCAGGAUGUGAAUGUGGUGACAGAUUAUUUUCUAAAGGUUUUGGGCUUGGAAGUCUGUGCAGAUACCUUAGUAGGGAAUCAAAUGUUAAGGGGAAUAUCCGGAGGACAAAGGAAGCGAGUUACAACCGGUGAGAUGUUGGUUGGACCAUCUAAAGUGUUACUCAUGGAUGAAAUAUCUACUGGUUUGGAUAGCUCAACAGCUUUUCAGAUUGUGAAUUCAAUCAAGCAAUAUGUUCACAUUCUUGAUGGAACGGCUGUCAUCUCCCUCCUCCAGCCAGCACCAGAGACGUAUAAUCUGUUUGACGACAUUAUUCUCAUCUCUGAUGGACAGAUUGUAUACCAGGGUCCCCGUGAACAAGUGCUUGAAUUUUUUGAAACAAUGGGCUUUAAAUGUCCUAAGAGGAAAGGGGUGGCUGACUUCCUCCAAGAAGUGACUUCAUAUAAAGAUCAGGAGCAGUAUUGGGUACAGAAAGACAAGCCCUACAAUUUUGUUACAGUCAAGGAAUUUGCUGAGGCAUUCCAAUCUUUCCAUGUGGGAUGGAAACUCAGAGAUGAACUUGCAGCUCAGUUUGACAAGGCUAAGAGCCAUCCAGCUUCUUUGACAACAAAAAAAUAUGGUGUUAAAAAGGAGGAGCUGUUGAAAGCUUGCUUGUCAAGAGAAUUCUUGCUUAUGAAGAGGAAUUCAUUUGUCUACAUCUUCAAGUUCAUCCAACUUACGUUACUGGCAAUGAUUGCUAUGACAAUUUUCCUACGGAUUAAGAUGCAUCGAAAUUCAGUGGAAGAUGGAGGAAUCUAUACUGGUGCAUUGUUCUAUGGUCUUGUUGUCAUUUUGUUUAAUGGUACUGCUGAGAUGCCCAUGACCGUUGCAAAGCUUCCUGUUUUCUACAAGCAAAGGAAGCUCCUAUUCUAUCCUCCAUGGGUAUAUUCUAUCCCUCCAUGGAUCAUUAAGAUUCCUAUCACAUUUGUAGAAGUUGCUGCCUGGGUAUUCAUUACCUAUUAUGUCAUUGGCUUUGAUCCAAGUCCCGUAAGGUUUUUUAGGCAGUUCCUUCUUCUUAUACUUCUUAACCAGAUGGCUUCUUCAUUAUUUCGUUUUAUUGCGACAACUGGUAGGGGGAGCCAGAUUCUUGCCAGCACAUUUGGAUCAUUUGCACUGGUCACACUGUUUGCUUUGGGUGGCUUUGUCCUGGCAAGAGAGAACAUAAAGAAAUGGUGGAUAUGGGGUUACUGGAUGUCACCAAUGAUGUAUGCACAGAAUGCUAUAGUAGUUAACGAGUUUCUUGGGAAGAGUUGGAGACAUGUUCUCCCAAACUCAACGGAACCACUAGGAAUUGAAGUUUUGAAGUCCCGUGGAUUCUUUCCACAUGCAUAUUGGUAUUGGAUAGGAGUAGGGGCGUUAAUUGGAUUUGUAUUACUUUUCAAUGCUGCCUUCACUCUGGCUCUCACUUAUCUCAAUCCUUUGGGAAAGCCACAAUCUGUAAUAUCAGCAGAACCUCAAAGCAAUGGAGGUAUAGAUGCUUCAGUAGAGGUCAAUCAGAGCAGAAAAAGAGGAAUGAUUCUUCCAUUUGAUCCACAUACCAUUACCUUUGAUGAAGUAAAGUACUCAGUUGACAUGCCACAGGUAACUUGUAACAUAUAAUAUAAACAUUUUGGAAGUGAAAUAGCUUCCUGUGCUAGCUAUUUGAUUAAAACAACUAUGCAGGAAAUGAAGAAUCAAGGUGUUUUUGAGGAUAAAUUGGUGCUUUUGAAUGGUGAGAGUGCUGCAUUCAGGCCAGGAGUUCUCACAGCACUGAUGGGUGUAACUGGUGCCGGGAAAACAACUCUGAUGGAUGUACUGGCUGGUAGAAAAACUGGUGGAUAUAUUGAAGGGAAAAUCACAAUUUCUGGGUAUCCAAAGAAGCAAGAAACAUUUGCUCGAAUUUCUGGAUACUGUGAGCAAAACGACAUCCACUCUCCUUAUGUAACUGUCUACGAGUCCUUGCUCUACUCAGCGUGGCUUCGUUUAUCCCCUGAUGUCGAUUCACAAAAAAGGAAGAUGUUUGUUGAGGAAGUUAUGGAGCUUGUGGAACUGAAACCGUUGAGGCAGGCAUUAGUCGGGUUGCCAAGUGAGAAUGGCCUCUCAACUGAGCAACGUAAGAGGCUAACAAUUGCAGUUGAGUUAGUUGCCAACCCCUCCAUACUUUUCAUGGAUGAGCCAACCUCAGGGUUGGAUGCUAGAGCUGCUGCUAUUGUUAUGAGAACUGUGAGGAACACCGUUGACACUGGAAGAACAGUUGUGUGCACCAUUCAUCAGCCAAGCAUUGACAUAUUUGAAGCUUUUGAUGAGCUAUUCCUAAUGAAGAAUGGGGGACAAGAGAUAUAUGUAGGGCCAUUGGGUCGCCAAUCUUGCCAUUUAAUCCAGUAUUUUGAGGGAAUAGAAGGAGUAAGUAAAAUUAAAGAUGGUUACAAUCCUGCAACUUGGAUGUUGGAAGUUACUUCAUCAGCAAAUGAAACAGCUUUGGGGAUUGAUUUUGCUAAUGUGUACAGAAAUUCAGAGCUGUACAGGAGAAACAAAGAACUUAUUGAACAAUUGAGCAUCCCUGUUCCUGGAUCGAAGGACCUCUAUUUCCCUACUCAAUACUCACAGUCAUAUUUCACCCAAUUCAUGGCUUGCUUAUGGAAACAGCAUUGGUCAUAUUGGCGCAACCCACUAUACACUUUUGUAAGAUUUUUCUUCACAACUCUCAUAGCCCUGAUGUUCGGGACAAUGUUCUGGAACCUUGGCUCAAAAACGACAAAGCAACAAGAUUUGUUUAAUGCAAUGGGUUCCAUGUAUGCUGCCAUUCUCUUUGUUGGUGUUAAAAACGCUAAUUCAGUGCAGCCAGUGGUGUCUGUUGAACGAACAGUCUUCUAUAGAGAAAGAGCAGCUGGGAUGUAUUCAGCACUGUCCUAUGCGUUUGCACAGGUUCUGAUUGAAUUCCCGUAUGUUUUUGUACAAGCCUUGGUGUAUGGUGUUAUUGUAUAUGUAUUGAUUGGAUUUGAAUGGACGGCUGCUAAAUUCUUUUGGUAUAUAUUCUUCAUGUAUACCUCACUAUUGUACUUCACCUUCUAUGGCAUGAUGACUGUCGCUGUGACACCAGACCAAGACACUUCUUCCACAAUUUCCUCUGCAUUUUUAGCAAUCUGGAAUAUAUUCUCAGGAUUCAUAAUCCCACAAACUAGGAUCCCUAUUUGGUGGAGAUGGUACUCUUGGGCAUGUCCAUUUUUUUGGACCUUGUAUGGGUUGGUUGCAUCACAGUUUGGAGAUAAAAAGGACAUGCUGGAUAUUGGUGAAACAGUGGAAGAUUUUGUGAGAGACUAUUUCGGUUUCAAUCAUGAUUUCCUGGGAGUGGUUGCAAUUGUCAAUGUUGCAUUUGUAAUAGUGUUUGCAUUUACCUUUGCUAUGUCUAUGAAAGUGUUCAAUUUCCAAAGGCGAUAGAUGUCAAAUUUUGAAAUAUCAUGGAAGAAGAUGAGAAAGGAAGAAUGGAAGAGAUUAACUCCGUCACUAAGUGUGUGUUUGACAAAAAUUAAAAAGUCAGCUUGUUUUACUAUUCAGCUUAUUUUUGCAA